rnacentral:misc_RNA from 1 species
CCUAUUAUAAGUUUUAUUUAACAAUUUCACACAAAAAUUAAUAAAUGUAUUGACAAUAAUAGCCCUAACCGCCUAAGUUUAACCUACUUAGAUAACUUUAUGGCUCAAACGCAAUGCAAAAUAUUACAAACCAAACAAUCAGUUGGUGGUGGCACAUCCCUCUCUAAACGGGCAUGUGAUUUUGUGAUAUCUGCAGUAAAUGUAAAUCUACAAAAAAUAACAAACAUUAAAGCCCGUUUCAUUGAAGCGGGCUUUUUUAUUGGAAAU